CCUUUUAGAGGCAGGUCAGGUAUCAUAAUCCAUUUAUCCACAGACAUUUUUUGAAAACCUGUGUACCUAAGCAGAGACAAAGCCCCUUUGAGAAUGCAAGUUUUGCAAGUAGCACCAUUGUUGCCUUUUGCUUGUGUAUGUCCCUUCUGAUUCCACCGAAGAGAAACAACCAUGCCAAAAUACUAUGAUAAAGCUUUUUUUCUGUCUUCUGCUUGGUGGAAAUGUUAACAUUCUGAUUAAAUCUUCCAGCUGAGGAAAUAGCUUUCAACCAAAUGGAUAAAUAUUUGAAACGUUUUUAUCUGGUUAAGGAAGCUUUGACAUAAAUUUCAAUAAGGAAAAGAUAAAGCUCUAAAUCUCUGCUUGGGUCUUUGUUGUCAUCUCAAAACCAAUUUCCCUUUCAAAUCUCCAGUAAUCAAGAUUGUGCAGCCACCUUUUCUGUCUGCAACAAACCCACAGUCCUACAGGUGGCUGCGGAGGUAUUUUGUUAUUUUAAUGGCACUUUUUCUGAGCUCGAUUAAAUCGAUGGCUUGUGACCAUACUGUCCCUUCCAUCAAAGACUUGGUAUUCAAGGACUAUGCUGAAGGACUUGCUUCCAAACCAGAGAGUUAUAUAGAGCCAAAGAAAUGGUAAAUACAAUAGCAGAUGGUUUAUAUCUGCUUGACAGCAUCGGUUUUGGCCAGUACCCAAAAUGACAAACUUCGGGGUUGGAAGUUUGAGCUGUUGUUGUUUGAAGUUGGGAGCUGAGACUGUACCUGAUCCAUGCAUACAUGACAAGGACAUCUAACGUGAGGUUAGAGCAGUGGUCCAGACAGGUCACUGUCAACAUAGGGUAAAGAAUGAGCUAAGAAAGCAGCAUGGAUUCAGCUAAGGAGAUGGGAAUGAUAUUUUAAAUGAAAUACCAGCAUGCAAGAUAAAAGAAGCGGACUGAUCAUAUAGAAAAGCCUAGAGAAGCUUUGUUUACACAGGUCUUUUGAGGAAAGACUGGUUAGACACUGCAGCUAUAAUCACACUUUUACAGAAAUUAUAUUCACUUACUACCAAAGGAUUAAAAUGUUUUAAGCAAGCAAUAUGCAUGAGUUGUUUGCUUUAGAAGUUUUUAUAAGCAUACUCAUGAGUAUGUUGGAUUGUUAUAACUUACUGAUGAAUCUGAUGGAGACUUCACGAAACUUCAGUUCACCACAAAUAUAAAAACUAAAACAAGCCUGUUCAAAAAUAACAUAUACAGAAUAGAAAAGUAAACCUCUUUUCUGGCUACCUGAAAGAGCAAGUCUUGCUAAAAGGUUCUGAAUUGGGUCCAAGUCAGAGACUUAAAAUUAGAGUUUGUAAUUAUUACUGUAUAAGCAACAAAUACUUCUUGGUUUUACUGCCUUUCAGUAUUUGUCAUGCAUAGACUGAAAAACAUCCCUGAACUUUCUCAGCUGACACAGAAACAGCACCAUCUAUUCCCGCCCUUCAGAAAGACGAGGCUGUUAGAAACUAAUAAGCUCCUUCAGGAAUUGGAGAUUUCCCCCAUCUCAGAUGUGUUCCUUCAAACCCCCUCCCGAAAGAGUUCUUUUUCUCUGGUCUGCAAAUAUGUAAUGUCAUUCUAAAAGACAUUUUUCUCUACAGUUGAAGCAAACUCAAGGAAAAAUGAAGAAAAAAAAAGUGGUUUUAUUUUCUUUUACUCAUGCAAGUCCAUCACGGUGGUUGGAGCCAUAGCUGGAUGGUCCAGUGGAGAGCCUGGAACAUGAAGACCAGUCAAGCUCCCCACGUAGGAGGGACAGUGAAGGUAUUGCUGUUCUGCUCCCAAGGGGAAAUUCUAUCCUCCCUGAAGCAUUUGAACGUGUUUGUACAGAACACAGACAAGCUUUUCACCAAUGACGUUGGAUGGGACAGAGCGCAACGUCAGCAAGUCUGCAGAUGACACAAAACUGGGAGGAGUGGCUGACACACCAGACAUUCGUGCUGACAUCCAGUGGGACCCAGACAUGCUGGAGAAAUGGACUGGAAGUGCAAAGUCCUGCACCCGGGGAGGAACAACCUUGUGUACCAGGAUAUACUCAGAGCAACCAGCUGGGAAGCUGCUUGGCAGAGGAGGCCCUGGGGUUUGUGGUGGACACAGCUGGAGUGUUGGGUCCAGUGCUGAUCUCCCCAGUAUAAGAAAGAUAAGGACGUACUGGAGAAAAUCCAGCAAAGGGCCAUCAAGAUGAUUAAGUGAUUGCAGCAAGAGGCUAAGCUGGGAUCAUUCAGGCAAAGGUUCUUCUCAGUGGUGCCCGGUGAACAGCCAAGAGUUAACAAACAUGACGUGAAAUGCAGGAUAUUCUGUUUAAACCUAAGAAAAGGUGGUCAAGCAAAGGAUUGGGUUGUCCCCAGUGGUUUUACAGUCUCCAUUCUUAAAGAUAUUCAAAGUCCAGCCUGCUAUGCCUGCCCUUGCUAAAGCAGGGGUUGGGCUAGAUGGUCUCCAGAGGUACCUACAACCACAGGCUCUCUGUGACUCUGAUGUGACGAAGUAAAUGAACCCCUUGAGUGUCCUGAUUUCCAGCUGAAUGGCUGGAAAAAUGUUUUGUAUGAGGUCUGCCUUGGGGUAUGAUAUUUUCAUUUUUUACCUGCAUGUUUAAUGGCAUUAUACAUAGUCUUGGCAAUGAAGCAAUGGCGUUGUGACUUGCUACUAAGUCUUCUCACUUCCUGCUGGUAAUAUGUGUAGCUUUGCCUUUUUCUUCCUUCCAGGUUAAUUUGGCCUAUUUAAGAUCUUGUCUAUUUUGCAAGACUUCUGUAUGGGUGAAUCUCUGUUACCGCACAUAUCAUAUUCUUAACAGAAUCAGAAAGCAAGGCAUUCAAUACCCACAAGCUUUAUUCUGGCAAUUUUGUUUAAACUUUAUAUUAAAAUCUGUCACUGAAGCUUUAAAAAUGCAUCUGUGAAUCAUUUUUAGUUGAAUAUUUGCUUUAUGUGUUUAUAUAUUUAAACAUCUUUUCAUUAAAGAAACCCAAGAUGACUUACUUGCUGGAUCGUUUUUUAUUAAUAAAUUUUUAAAGCCUACAUUCCACAAAAUUGCUGGGAGCCUUAACUCCUCCAUUACCACCAACAGGGACUAACUGAGCAUUCAUUUUCAAAACCUUACUGGACAAAUUGAAUUCACAUGUAGUAUUUCAGGUAUUAAUAACUGCACAAGGAUAUUCUUGAAGUUGGCAGGCACACAGCAGCAAAAUGAAGCUGACACGAGUUUGAAAUGACCAAUGAUUUAAAAUUUGGAGAAAAUAAUAAGACGACUGAUUUGCAGAGACCAUCUAUGUCACUGUUUAGAUUUUUCACAGCAGGUUACUUAUCAAGCUAAUAGAAAUGCUGACAUGCACAACCUUAACUCCUAUAUCACCCAGUCACUGCUCUAAUCUAAUUGAUUUGUGGUUGUUUCCUUGGAUUGAGACAUAAAGUGGAUGUGCUUUCCAAAAUCUCUUCAGCUCUUCUUUAGGACAAAGAGGCUGUCCCAGAGGUACCUGUGAUUACAUGAUUCAAACAGAUUUUUAUGAUUUUUUGGUGGGCCUGUUUAAGUGACAGUGCAUCGUAUUUCAUACCAGCUGAACUGCAGCCCUAUGAAUAAUUACAAUAUUUUCAGCUGGUUGUACCCUUCCCUGACCUCUGUGGGCAAGAAUUCCUGCACUUACUUUUAAAGUUAACACAGCAAUAACAGCUAUUUUUAUGAACUAUGUCAGAUAAUUAUGUUGUCUUGCAUUUUUUCAGCUGUCUAAAUUAGCAUAUAUCAUUUGCAACAAUGGGUAUGUUAUAUCGCAUUUUCUCCUCAAGUUCUUGUUUUCCAAACUAUAAAAAAUAGUAACAGCUAUAAAUUUUCUUCCUUUUCAUUCAGCUUCAUUAUGCUGAGAAAAACAAUCCAUUAUAUUGUAGGGAGAAUACAAAUAAAAACAGAAGAAUAAAUCUAACAAUAAAUAACAUUAUUAAAAUAUGCAUGUUUUUGCUAUGGCUAAGAUAUGCUCAUUGAUGUAAAUACAAUUUUGGUCAUGGCCUGUCAGUCUUUCCUUUGUUCAAGCCCUGUUUCACCUGGGCUCUGGGGAUGCAAUGCUUUUUUCUAAUCCUGGAGAGGAAUAGUGGCAGCACCACAUUCACCUACUAUUCCAAUCACCCAAAUAGAUUUCAGCUGUAGGAUGUGGCCCUAUAGAACACUUUUUAUCACAUAUUGAAACACAGGCUUUUAAUAUUUGUCUUCUCAUUAUGAGCUCCUUCAGUUUCACUAACCUGGACUGUACUAAUGGGGAAAGUGAUGGAGCAGCUCCCAGCACUGAUUCUACACAACCGUGGUAAGAUGAUUCUUCUUCCUUCUUUCUUCUUCCUUCUUUCUUCUUCCUUCUUUCUUCUUCCUUCUUUCUUCUUCCUUCUUUCUUCUUCCUUCUUGAAUUGCCAGAAUACCUAGAGGAUGACACUAGCACUCACAAGCUGCUGUUGUUGAUACCAUCUUUUAGGACCAAGUACUAGUAUGAUAUGUAAUUUCAACAUCUGAAAAACACGUAUAGUGGCAUAGAUGGAUUUAGUAAUCACUAUGUAUAUCUGGGCAUGACGUUAAAUGUCACGUCAUGAAUGCAGUUUCAUGAUGGGGAUUUACUAUCCAACUUGUAAUGUCUUGCUUUUGCAUUUGGUUCAUUUUGAGUUUCCUGAAUUGAAUGUGUGAUUUGAAGCCAAAAUAUUUUAUAGUCAGCGUUACUUUCUAUAGCAAAAAGAUAUUUUAUAGUCAGUGUUACUUUCUGUAGCAAACAUUUAUGAAAUUCUGAAACUUGAUACACAAAUAUUUGAACAUUUUCCCACAUCCGUAUGGUGAAUCACUUAUAUAAGUACAUUCUGCAGUCUUAGCAAGUAAGGAUCCAUUUCAGUAAAUUCCCCUUUUAGAAAAUCUCUGUCAACUCUAGUCAACUUUCUCUUUUUAGUUUUUAUCCAUAUGUACAUUGCAAAGUCCAGUAAAUAAUGAGUUCAGGAAUAUAACUAGAAAAAUAGUUUCCAAAAUAAUUUUAAAACAUCCUUAAUCAAAUCCAAGCAAGAAUCAUAAUCAAUUUGUCUUAUGGAAUUUUUCAUUAAACUGAAUUUUAUUUAUAAAAUACAUUCUUAUUUGUUUCCCCUUUGAAAAUGUUUGAAAUGAGAUGCUUAAGGGCAAUCAAUAACUUAAGUCACAAAAACUGUUUUUACUUAUCACUUUGCUAGCAAUAAGGUUAUUAAUUUUUUUCUCUUUAUUUCUUUUUUUCAAGUCAGGUUGUUAAAAGCGAUAGGCCUGGACUGAAUACAGCUGAGAGAUGUUUCUAUUUGACAAUAUCUGUGCUAAGGAAAAGAAUCACAUUUCAAAUGUUUGGGGAUCAAAGGAAAUGAAUGCAAUCAUGUAAACACCAAAUUGGAUUGUUAUGGCUUGUUUUAUCUAUGUAAACAUUGGUAAAGGAAUCAAAUUGCUACAAUUGAUACACUUUAUUCGAAGGGCUAUCUUGCAGAAAUAACAGCGAAUUACAGGGAUGGCAAAGGGUAAACCUCUACACCUGCUGGUGUAGUGCUUAGUGGCAGGGAAGGAAGGAAGGAAACAAGUAAUAUUCUAGGCUGAAAAGCAAUGCUAGAAAGAUAGAAGUCAUCAGUCUAAAGAAAUGUACCUCUCAAUUGUAAUGAUCAAGUAUGAUUUGCUCUGGGAGAGUACAGAGGUUUAAUACGAUUCCCUUGUCAAAAUAAUCACAAUCUACCGUGGCCAUUGCUCUUUCGCAGUUCCUUAAUGACAAGGUGGAGAGAUCCAACCUCUAAUUUAGAUUUGUAGAAAUGACAUCAAAUGACAGUAGAUCUGAUUAAAUAGAUUGGCAGCUGAAGCCCAAGGAUACUGCAUUAGUCUAUGACAACUUCACCAUAGCAGGAUGCUCGAUGGUGCUGCCUCCCUUUGUGACCAGCAUGUAAUUUCUGUUGCAUGUUUACGGCAGCUCCACAUCAAAGGAGAUGGGAGUCAUCAUGUGCAGGUUAAAAAAUACGGAUUUUGUGAUUGUCUUCUUUAAUGAUAAAUUCAAAACCCUGCAAGAAAACAUGCUUUUUCCCUACCCUUUUUUUCUCAGCAGUUGUGUUUUGGGUCUCUGAGAACACAGAGGAGCACAGGUCACCCAAAAGCAGAUGCUCUCCAUGUUGAGUGUUGGGUUGACAGUGACAGUGAAGCCCUGAUCUCAGCAUAUCUUGGUUUCUCUAGUAUCCAAUUUUAGCUUUUUCUUUUUUAUCUAUUUGCUGCAGUGUGUUUGAAUAGAAUGGAUGACUACACCUAAGUAUAGCAACCAUCAGUGCUGUCUGCUCUUUAGAAAUAAAAGUAAAUACAACCUAAUUUUGCCGUUUUCAUUGAUGGCAGAACUUUUUUUCAGCAGAGAGAAACAGCUACCUCUGUCCUAAGUAUAGUCAAUACCUACUCUUAAUCCAUAAAUUUCCAGAUGUCUUCUUUAAUCUCUGAUGCUUUUUGAACUGAGGUCUGGAAGAUUUUCAGCUCAUGACUCACAUUUGUAUCAGAAAGUCGUGUGUGGAACCAAAAUGAUUCUAUGAUUGGCAUGAUUUAAAAUAACAGGUGGGGAAGUGGGUAAGCAGAUCUUGGCUCAGUGCCCCAAAUGUAUGUACUGCAAAGGAAAGCUUUCCAAUAUUUCAUUCACUAGGUCACAAAUUAUCUAUUCACAUCUGUAGGAGCUCUUUGCCAGGGAAAGGUCUUUAGAUUCCGGUCUCGCCAAUGGAUUUGUUGCAAGACUGCAUGCCCCAGUGAAUUUGUUUUUCAACAGAACGGAUUCUCUGACAAUUUGCACCUUUCCUAGAUAAGAAAUCUAUUUCCCUUUUAUUCCUCUUGGCCUGUGGUAUAACACAGAACUUGUGGGGACAGGACAAACAACUUUGUAUGUGAUAGGAUUCCACUUUACUUCUUUUCCCUGUCUACCAUACAUCUAGGAAAAGCACUAGAAGUGUACUAAGAUGUUUGUAGGAGAGGGCUGGUAUAAUAUUUCAGCAUUACAAUAGUCCAUGCCGCUUGGGCAGGGGUAGGAGUGAAGUGUUGCCCUGUGCCAUUGAACAGCCACAGGUAGACGGUAGCAAGACACUGUCAGAGAGGUCAGGCUCUGGUUCUGACCCCUCUUGAUAGCACCAUAAUCUCCUGAGGAAUUUUCCCCUGGAAUCUAAGCACCAAUUUGUUUUAAAAUCUAUCACUGUCACAGAGAAAUUGCAAAGUAGCAACAGCCACUGUUACCGCCUGACCCUGCUGUAUUUUGAUCUUGCUGCUGGUGGAGGCAGGAUGUCCAGCUCACAAAACACACAGCAGCUGGCAAACAAUGGCCUGCUGUUCAGAAAUACUUUCUUAAAAUCUAUAUAUAUUUCCCAAAUUUUAUGUUUAGAUUUAUUAAACGAUUUAACGUAUUCAUAGAGAAUUAAUAAGCAGCAGGUUGGGCAGUCAUUGGCCUGUACACUAGAAAAAUCUAAAUUAAUUUCUCAAAUCCAUCCCCUACCUGUCAAAAGAGAGAAGAAAUGAGACAACAACAGGUUUUUUAGUCUUCUUGGCUUUAUUUGCAAAUAUUUGGGGUGGGGAAGUGUAUCUCCAGGCAUAUGUGUCAUGCUUUUAACUCCUAGAGUGUUUUUAACAUCCAAAUGCAACAGCACUACGUCUCCCAGGGGACCACAGAAACACUAUUUUGAGUACAUGCCAUCUGUACAUUGUACCUUUAUUUGUAUUUGCAUUCAAACAUCUCCACGGGUUUCCGGGUCUUUUUGAGGGCUUGCUAUGGAGGCAAAGGCAAGCAUUGUGGAUGGCUACGGUGCCAGUCUGGACCUAAGGAGCAGAGGCAGCUGUGUAGAUG